AAAAAAUUAGUUAAACAAAAUAACAUUAGUAUGUCAAACUAGAAUUAUCAAUUCAUUGAUAUUUUUUG
rnacentral:tRNA from 1 species